GCCAGGCACAGUGGUGCAUGCCUGUAAUCCCAGCAACUCGGGAGGCUGAGACAGGAAUAUCACAAGUUGGAGGCCAGCCUCAAGCAAUUUAGCAAGGCCCUAAGCAACUUAGUGAGACCCUGUCUCAA
rnacentral:sRNA from 1 species